GAGCACUCUAGACGAACUGCCGUUGACAAAACGGAGGAAGGUGGGGAUGACGUCAAAUCAUCAUGCCCUUAUGUUCUGGGCUACACACGUGCUACAAUGGCCGGUACAGACGGAGGCGAAGCCGCGAGGCGGAGCAAAUCCGAAAAAGCCGGUCUCAGUUCGGAUUGCAGGCUGCAAUUCGCCUGCAUGAAGUCGGAAUCGCUAGUAAUCGCAGGUCAGCAUACUGCGGUGAAUACGUUCCCGGGCCUU
rnacentral:rRNA from 1 species